UGGCGGACGGGUGAGUAAUGUCUGGGAAACUGCCUGAUGGAGGGGGAUAACUACUGGAAACGGUAGCUAAUACCGCAUAACGUCGCAAGACCAAAGAGGGGGACCUUCGGGCCUCUUGCCAUCGGAUGUGCCCAGAUGGGAUUAGCUAGUAGGUGGGGUAACGGCUCACCUAGGCGACGAUCCCUAGCUGGUCUGAGAGGAUGACCAGCCCCACUGGAACUGAGACACGGUCCAG
rnacentral:rRNA from 1 species